ACCGAUCCCCGAUCCGCCAGGGGCUCAGGCAGGAGCCCUGCCCUGGGGCAUCCAGGGAAGGAAGUGAAACUGCUGAGAGCAACCCUUCCUUCCUCUUACUCGCACGUCCAAGGGUUAAAAACACUUCCCAACUCUCCUUCCAACGGCAAGGUCAAGCAGCUGUCCAAGCCACCCAAGGAGAAGAGGGAGUCGUGGACAGCUGGCCCCCCCCUAGCUUGGUGGUGACAGGCCCUGCCAGCCCGGCUAAGGAAGAGUUAAUCGGCAAUCAGCUUUGGCCGAUAGUUCAGACUCCGAAGUUCAGUCCCAGUCCCAGCCACCCCGGAGGGAUUGUAAAUCUCAGAGCAGUAUUUAACAAAACAAAAGCAACCUGGAAUUACAUGCAGGUUCGGUUUUCUACAGUACACAUUUACUUAAUCCCCAAGGGCUGGCUGGAGAUGGCCUGGCCUGCCGGCCUCAAAUCCCUCUCUCGAUUGCUCUUGUCACUGGGUCCCGCAGCUUGGCGGGCAGCACCAGUCCGACGGCUGCUUUCGCCACUAGAUAGAUCAUCUGCAGAGGGAACACCACCAAGGCGCCCAGCCAUUUCCACACCAUCCUCCGCGCCGCGGAGCCGGGCAGGGGGCGAAACUCCCCGGACUGAACAAAACAGGAAUUAAAAAAGAAAACACCCCAAAACAAUAAUAAAUAAACCGAAUAAAAAA